UCAUAUGAAGAGAAAUAAUGAAGAGAAAUGAUAGAUAAAACGUAUCGGUGCUCAUCGGCCAUUGGACAUAAAGAUUACACAACAAGUUGGAAAUCGUAAAUUCAACAAUGAGUGGUUUGGAAGGAAUCAGUGGCUAACUGCAAGCAUUGCAAAGCAAUCACUAGCCUGCUAUUCAGUGGAGUGUGUGUGUGGUCCCAAGUCUGGGUUUAAGGGUCUCUUGUUCAAGGAUAAACAUUCAACAUUGUUCAUGGUGUCAAUCCAGCAUGACUUCUGCCACGCUCAAAACAACUGUUAACUCAGAACUAGGAAAUCUGACUUCGAGUUCCCAGUUGUUUUGAAAGCACCAUAAAUCCAGAGAAUUCCAGAUUUUGAUGACAAAGUUUGAUGACAGAAUUUGCCCACAAAGGACCAACGGCCACCUUCCUGUUGAAGUGAGCACAGCACAAAAAGAUCACAUUUUAGGAAGAGUUCCUUCCACACGAGGGAGCCCCCGAGUAGUGGUUAUUCCUCCAGCCAGCCGUGCACUGAACCAGCCCCAGCCCACAACCACGGCAGCACGCUGGCUUGGCUGACUCAGAGACAGGAAGGGUUGGGCACAAUGGGACAGGUCCAGCAAAACAUGAGUAGGCCUGCAAACAACAGCUGUUGAAGUGCAGCCCAGAUAAUAACGUCAGAAUGAGCCUCCCCAAAAGGGUCUCCCUCUGGACCGUGGUGGAUGUGUUCGACUGGGUCAAGGAGCAGUACCCCUACCAAAAGAGUGUCCUCCAAGUGGCCAUCUUCAAGCAUGACAUAUCCGGCCGAGCUCUGCUGAGGAUGGGUGAACACCAAUUGGAGAGGAUGGGGGUGGAGGUGGAGCAUCUUCAGGAGGUCCUACUGGACAUCCUUCUCCUCAGGGUCCAGGAGGAACUUGAGAACCUUAACGACAUCUUCUCUGAGUGUUUCUCUUCAUGACUAUAACAGAAGAAGAGGUCUGAGAUAUCAUUAUUUAGUCCAUCUACGGUGUGGAGGACUAGAGAAGAAAAAAUAAAUUUGCUUUCAGUAGUCAUUGACCUGAAGAAGGCGGCCAGAUUGGUUUUGGCAUGGUUGUAGUUUUACUGACACGUCUGUGAAUCAAGCCCUUACCCCUCGCUCUGCGCUGCUCUUGUGGUCUUAUUUUUCACAAUACUCAAUACACUAUGUGGCAGCUAUUGCAGAGGGAGAACAUCAUUCCCCACUUGAACAGGGGAUAUAGUGCAUCCCUCAUCUGGACUAAAUGUUGCAAUCCCAUACCAAGCAGUGAUUUGGCUAGCUAAUGGCCUGUUAUAUUACUCUCAGGAGACCCUGUGUGAAUUAGAAUGGAGAGUAAGUAAAUUAGUCCUGAGUUUAAUGCAGGGACACAUGGCCAUAAUUUAGAUAACAACCCAAAUGCUGCUCAAACCUAUUAGGCCCUACACAGGGAACAUAAUAGGAUCAUUUAAUGGGAGGUUUCUGGCAGAGACAAAAUGGCUUUAAAGUUUUAUGUAUUUGCUUAUAUAGUUUUAUGUUGGAGUAAGAAUGUUGUGUCUGACUGAAACUCGUCUUUGUUUAGCUUUUGUUGCUCCACACCUCAUGUUUGUAAGACGUCAGCAGUUUUUCUGUCUGUCAAAUACAAUGCAAUGUCUAGCAAAUCUUUAAAUGGAACACAACUACGCAUAGAAUCCCUCCAGUAUGACUACGCAGCUAGGAAUGUAUUCUAUGCAGAUAUAUCCUAUUUUAUUUGCUCCGGGAACAUAUUGAUAUAAACAGUUCAUUGUGUAAUCAUGUGCUUGCUUAAAUUGCUCAGAGAUAACAGAUUUGCAUAUAUUAAGUGGAGCAAAUGAAAGUGCUACGUUUGCAAAUACUACAUCUUUUCAAAUCCUUCCUCAGAGAAAUUCCUCCCCAGACGUAAAUGUCCUGUCCAUUGUAUAAUGAUAAUGUUUGUUUGCUCCAGUUUGAAGUGCAUCCCUAAGGUUCUGCACGUUUCAUUAGACACUACAUGCACAUGAAAAACUGCAGGACUGUCAAAUCUGAGCUCAAACAGUACCUUAGCAAAGCAUACAAUGCAGUUCAACUCCAAACCACUAUACCUGUAUUAUAGUGUAAUGUUUUCAUAAACAGGAAACGCUAUGUUUAGACAUCCAUUUGCUAUCCAGUCUAGAACACAGGAGAGAAACAGGUUACUCUGGUGAAGAGAUGAGAAUGAAAUGUCACGGGGGUGUUCAGUGGGUGAAUCUGUGGAUGAACCCUAUUUAGUGCAUGAGUCUGACCUGACAGCUCAUAUUUGCUAAUAAAGACCUAUUCUGAUCAUU